rnacentral:tRNA from 1 species
GGUGAGGUGGCAGAGUGGUUAAUGCGAUGCACUGCUAAUCCAUUGUGCUUUGCAUGCAUGGGUUUGACUCCCAUCCUCAUUG